CAUGCUUGUUGACCGCACAUCUACAAGGAAUAGAUUCCUUUUUUUUUUUGUUUGGAAUUUUAGUCCUGACAGCCAGCACCCCUCUCCAUUUAGCACCCUACAGCUCCUCCGUAUUCUCCAUGGCUUUGCUAACAUCACCUCCUUAGCAUUCUUCUGGACCUCCGAGGCGAGCUGAGGACAGUAACAAAAUCCCACCCCAGUGCAGCUGGUGAACCAAUGAAUUUAACUGAGGUCCGUGACAACUUAGGGGCAGAUACUCAUAAGACGGUAGUGCCAUGGAGUGAAGCUAUUGCUGUGAGUCAACCGUUACGGAGGGCAGCCAGUGAUGCGCAGGAUGCGGACCGAAUAUUGAUGUUUGAUGGCCUUCCAAAUGGAGCGCAAUCGCACUCUCAAAGAGCAUAGGUUUUAAAAGAAAACCUAUCUGUUAUCAAAGGGGCUUGAAAAACACGCAAUUGGAAAACAAAGAAAACCACUAACAAAGGGGGUCCGGGUAAGGGAACAGAGUCCGGCAAGCUGGAAAAAAAUCAGACAGAGGCUCCUGAGGUGGCGGAGAGAGCAUGGGUAGCGUUCCUCGGAGUACCAAGAAUAAAACAAAUCCAUUUACAGUGAGGAGGCAGGGGAAGUGAUUUAAUUAAGAAUUCAGUCAAAGAUGGAGGAGCAGGAGGAAGGCAGUAGGGUGGGUGGGGCAUGAUUUGGGUAUUGUAAACAUAAGGAAACUUGUGGCUUGUGGAGCUUGGUGGGGCACUUACUUAAAUGGAAAGGCAGAUGGUUGGGUCACUAAAAGAAGCCGAAGGAUUUAGAAGAAGGGGUUUGAAACACUGACCUCCCCCACCUGCCCUCCCCAGCAACACACAAACGAUAAAGUUAUGUAGUGUUGGCCUUUGGGGGGUUUAAUGGAGAGUAGUCAGUCCUGAAACCAUAUACGAACAACAAAGACAGACUCCGUAAGUUCUAUUUAUAUGUAUUUGUGUGUACAGAUACAUACAUACAUGUACAUAUGUUACAAUAAUAAAGAAAAUGAGGCUAUCAACACGGGGUGUGGGUUUGAGGGAGGAUAGCUGGGAUGACCUGGAGGGAGGGAAGAGGAAUGUAAUUCUGUUUCAACUAAAAAUAUAUUUAAAAACAAACUAA